rnacentral:lncRNA from 12 species
AUGAAUAUAGCAGAAGAGAGGCCAGUCCGUCGGCAGGCACCUCUGACAGAUCUCCGCUCUCCUGUGCCCGAGAAGAGCUUCCACUGGAGAGGAGGACCCCUGUGUGGGGGAAAUCGGAGACACUGGUUCUUCUGCCCUGUUUCUCUUCGGCCCUGGAAGCUGCCCACCUGCAUACCUCCUGUUCUUCUCUGCCGCUGUCAACUCAGGUUUGUGAACUGCCACCACUGGGUGACAUCACUUCUCCCCAUGUUCUUUGCCGUGGGCUUCCAAGUAUUUUCAUUUGAUACGUGGUCUCUGAGCCUCACCAUUUGGACUCCUCAUUCCUGCCCUCUCCCGCCUUUCCAGAAGCCUCUGCCUUUGAACUGGGAGUCUGCUACCUUGCCUGAUUUCUCCCACUUACAGGCUGGCUGUUCCAUGUCCUCUGACGGACCUCUUUUCUUUCAUAGCUGCUCGCUGUUAUCUCAGCUGCUUGCAGAUUUGUGUGACCUCCUGUCCCAGGAUGGGCUCCACCUGCCUCCUUUCCUCUCCCAUGCUGACCACACCCCCAUUUCAUCCUGCUGGUGACAAGUCCCAGCCAAAGAGCAGCAGGCUGAGGCUUGAAGGAGAGUCCUGCCUCUUCCUCCCUGGGCCUUGAUCCUGGGGAAGGGGAUCCCCCGGGGAGGAGGGGGCCAAUCUGUGGCUUUUCUCUCCCCCUUCUUUCCUGUUGGCCCUGUUAGUGUGCUGGGAGAGAAAGCAGGCCUUUGGCAGCAGGACAAAUAAAAGAAAACCCGGGCCACA